UACGUAGGUGGCAAGCGUUGUCCGGAUUUACUGGGCGUAAAGAGCGCGCAGGCGGCCAAGUCAGUCGAAUGUGAAAGCCCCCGGCUUAACUGGGGAGGGUCAUUCGAUACUGCUCGGCUCGAAGACAGGAGAGGGAAGUGGAAUUCCCGGUGUAGUGGUGAAAUGCGUAGAGAUGUGGAGGAAUACCGAUGGCGAAGGCAGCCCCCUGGGAUAACACUGACGCUCAUGCACGAAAGCGUGGGGAGCAAACAGG
rnacentral:rRNA from 1 species